UAUGCAAGUGAUUUAAGGAUGGAAUGGCUGUUUAGCUUUAUCAUUCCUUCCUGGUCUGCUGUCAGAUUGGGGGUUCUAGAUCUGCGUUGUAUUGUGAUGAUCUCCCUGGAGGGAACGGACUCUGUUAUUAUCGUGACUUGUUGGUGGGAGCCAGGCCUUCCCAGGUCUAAGGAAUCCUGCUUUCCUCCACUGUCCCGUUUGUCCAGCGUGAUUGGCCAAUGGGGAGAACAAAUGAUUCCAAGGGAUGCUUCGAGCUUUCCAUUCUCUCCUGCUAGCACAGGCUGAUCUCUUUGAGUGACUUACCAGGAAGCUGGGACAGUGCCAGACAGGGCUGUCUUAUGGUUACAUGAGCCUGUCUCUGGGCUUUUAUAAUUCAUCUUCUUCUUGGAGUUUCCCCGCUUGGAACACGGCUUCGCCCCCUUCCUCCUUGAUUAACGAUGUGCUGGAUGGAGAACAUGGAUGAACCGGGAGGCCUGAGCUGAGGAGGCCUCCAGCAAACAAUCGUCCUUUGAAUGUGUGGCUGUUCGGCCUGCCCAGAUCCGUCUGCUUUGUGCAUUUUGGUUCGUGUAUUAGAGUUUCUUAAAAUAGGACUCACCACCGAAGCUCACCCGGGCUCCGAGAUAAAGCCUUGAGCUGGUCUGCAGGGAGCAGCGUGAGCCAACCAGCUGCGGUGAUGACGGGCCACAGCCUCAUGCUGGGCUCUAAAUCAUGGUUAAAACCCCAGAGCUAAAAGCAUCACCCCUCUCUGGCACUUUCCAUUUAAAAGCCAUGCUAUAUUUUUGUUUCCAAUUACAGGAGGAGAAAAAUAAAAGCAUCUGGAAUGUG